rnacentral:rRNA from 1 species
AGGAUAAACGCUGGCGGCGUGCCUAACACAUGCAAGUCGAACGCGCUUUCGGGCUUCGGUGCGAGAGCGAGUGGCAGACGGGUGAGUAACACAUGGGUACCUGCCUUUCAGUGAGGGAUACCGGCGAGAAAUCGCCGACAAUACCGCAUAGGCUUCUCGGUCGCAAGAGCGGGAAGCAAAGUGGCGCAAGUCACGCUGGAAGAUGGGCCUGUGGCCGAUUAGCUAGUUGGGGGGGUAAUGGCCUCCCAAGGCGACGAUCGGUAGCUGGUCUGAGAGGACGAUCAGCCACACUGGGAUUGAGAACGGCCCAGACUCCUACGGGGGGCAGCAGUGAGGAAUUUUCCGCAAUGGACGAAAGUCUGACGGAGCAACGCCGCGUGCAGGAGGAAGGUUUUCGGAUCGUAAACUGCUUUUCUCGGGGACGAGCAAGGACGGUACCCGAGGAAGAAGCCCGGCUAACUACGUGCCAGCAGCCGC